GCGCUGCAGGAGGCGAGCCGGGAGCGAGGGGCGUGGACGUACCCAGGGUCCCGCCCACCGCGGAGCGGCUCCAGCUUCGUCUGGAGAGCGGCUGGAAGCGGCUAGGCUAUUUCGGGCUGGUCUCUGCCGGAAGUGGUGGUUCCUGGUGCUUGUCUCACAGUCUCUGGACACCGCCCUGUAGCGACCGAGGUACCGGGGCUGGGUGAUCUCAGACCUACCCCGACGGCGUGCCCCGGCCACAUGCCCUCCCUCAUCCCUCCGACUUUAUCCAGCCGGGGGGCGGGGGGGCCUGCUCUGGAAGGGAACUCGGGUUCGUCCGUGGUGGGGGAACCAAGAUCCCACAUGCCGCAGGGCAACUAAGCCGGCAGGCUCUAGAGUCGGAGCGCCACAACUAGAGAGAAGCCAGCGCUCUGCAACGAAGGAUUCCUCAUGCCACAAGAUCCUGGGCUAAGAAACUAAACCAGACACAGAAAACUGCGGGUGUGCGAAGACAGGGUCAGCUAGCCAGCUCUGAGCCCUGGGAGCACCUGAAACUCCAUUUAAAACUGUCUCCACACACUCAGCUACUUUUCUAACUUCUUGAGAUGAAAGUUUAUCACACUUUCAACUUUUUUUCCUAAGAUAUGCAUAUAAGACUAUAAAUUUCUUCUAUGUACUGCUUUAGCUGUACCCCAAAGUUUUGGGAUAUAGUACUCUCAUUAUGUGUCAAAUAUUUCUAAAUUCCCAUCUGAAUUAUUCCUUGAUCUGUUUGCUAUUUAAAAGUGUGUUUCUUAAUUUCCAAAUAAAUAGGAAUUUUCCGGUUUUUUGUUUGUUUUCAAUUUCUAGAUUAAUUGCAUUAUGGUUGGAAAGUAUAUUCUGUAUUAUUUUAGUCCUCUGAAAUGUGUUGAAAUUGCUUUAUGGAUCAGUGUAUAGUCAUUUUGUGUAAAUGUUCUGAAUGUGCUUGAAAAGAAUGUGUGUUCUUCAGGGUUCUAUAUGUGUAAAUCAAGUCAUUUGUUAAUUAUAUUGUUCAAAUCUUCCAUAUCCUUACUGAUUUUUUGUCUACUUGUUCUAUCAGUUACUGAUAGAGAAGUGUUAAAAUUUUCUGUUGAUUGUAGAUUUUCUAUGUCUCUUUGAUGUUCUAUCAAUUUUUGCUUUACUUAUUUUUAGGCCAUGUUAUUAGGCAUCUAUCAAUUUAGAAUUGUUAUAUUUUCCUGUGGAAUUGACUAUUUUUCUUUAUGAGGCAAUCUUUAUUUUAAAGGAUUGGCUCAAAGUCUACCUUGUCAGACAUUAAUAUAUAAAUUAUCUUUCAUUUGAUUAAUAUUUGUAUAUGUAUAUAUAUAUGUCUUUUUCUACCCAUCAACUUUCAAUAUUUCACCAUCCUUAUGUUUUAGAUAUGUCUCUUUUAAGUAAGUGUUAUUAGAUUUUUAAAAAUUCAAUCUGACAAUAUUUGUCUUUUAACUGGAAUAUUCAAACAUUUAAUAUAAUUAUGGAUUUGCAUGUAAUGUAAUUAUGCUUAAUGCAACUAUGGAUUUGUUUGGAUUUAUAUCUACCACCUUAUUUUGUACUUUCUAUAUG